UGCGUAGGGUGCAAGCGUUGUCCGGAAUUAUUGGGCGUAAAGGGCUCGUAGGCGGUUUGUCGCGUCGGGAGUGAAAACUCAGGGCUUAACCCUGAGCCUGCUUCCGAUACGGGCAGACUAGAGGUAUGCAGGGGAGAAUGGAAUUCCUGGUGUAGCGGUGAGAUGCGCAGAUAUCAGGAGGAACACCGGUGGCGAAGGCGGUUCUCUGGGCAUUACCUGACGCUGAGGAGCGAAAGGGUGGGGAGCGAACAGG
rnacentral:rRNA from 1 species